GACGAACGCUGGCGGCGUGCCUAAUACAUGCAAGUCGAACGCUGAAGGAGGAGCUUGCUUCUCUGGAUGAGUUGCGAACGGGUGAGUAACGCGUAGGUAACCUGCCUGGUAGCGGGGGAUAACUAUUGGAAACGAUAGCUAAUACCGCAUAAUAGCAGCUGUUGCAUGACAACUGUUUGAAAGGUGCAAUUGCACCACUACCAGAUGGACCUGCGUUGUAUUGGCUAGUUGGUGGGGUAACGGCUCACCAAGGCGGCGAUACAUAGCCGCCCUGGGAGGGGGAUCGGCCACCCUGGGACGGGGACACGGCCCAGACGCCUACGGGAGGCAGCAGUAGGGAAUCUUCGGCAAUGGACGGAAGUCUGACCGAGCAACGCCGCGUGAGUGAAGAAGGUUUUCGGAUCGUAAAGCUCUGUUGUAAGAGAAGAACGAGUGUGAGAGUGGAAAGUUCACACUGUGACGGUAUCUUACCAGAAAGGGACGGCUAACUACGUG
rnacentral:rRNA from 1 species